UGGGGAAUAUUGGACAAUGGGCGCAAGCCUGAUCCAGCAAUGCCGCGUGUGUGAAGAAGGCCUUCGGGUUGUAAAGCACUUUUAUCAGGAGCGAAACGCUGUCGGCUAAUACCCGGCGGAACUGACGGUACCUGAGGGAUAAGCACCGGCUAACUUCGUGCCAGCAGCCGCGGUAAUACGAAGGGUGCAAGCGUUAAUCGGAAUUACUGGGCGUAAAGCGUGCGUAGGCGGUUUCUUAAGUCUGCUGUGAAAUCCCCGGGCUCAACCUGGGAAUGGCAGUGGAUACUGGGAGGCUAGAGUGUGUCAGAGGGUGGUGGAAUUCCCGGUGUAGCGGUGAAAUGCGUAGAGAUCGGGAGGAACAUCAGUGGCGAAGGCGGCCACCUGGGACAACACUGACGCUGAGGCACGAAAGCGUGGGGAGCAAACAGGAUUAGAUACCCUGGUAGUCCACGCCCUAAAGCGAUGCGAACUGGAUGUUGGUCUCAACUCGGAGAUCAGUGUCGAAGCUAACGCGUUAAGUUCGCCGCCUGGGGAGUACGGUCGCAAGACUGAAACUUAAAUGAAUUGACGGGGUCAUAGCUGUUUCC
rnacentral:rRNA from 1 species